rnacentral:rRNA from 1 species
CCUACGGGAGGCAGCAGUAGGGAAUCUUCCACAAUGGGCGAAAGCCUGAUGGAGCAACGCCGCGUGAGCGAAGAAGGUCUUCGGAUCGUAAAGCUCUGUUGUAAGGGAAGAACAAGUGCAGUAGUAACUGGCUGCACCUUGACGGUACCUUACUAGAAAGCCACGGCUAACUACGUGCCAGCAGCCGCGGUAAUACGUAGGUGGCAAGCGUUGUCCGGAAUUAUUGGGCGU